GUGAACGCUGGCGGUAGGCCUAACACAUGCAAGUCGAACGGCAGCACAGUAAGAGCUUGCUCUUACGGGUGGCGAGUGGCGGACGGGUGAGGAAUACAUCGGAAUCUACUUUUUCGUGGGGGAUAACGUAGGGAAACUUACGCUAAUACCGCAUACGACCUACGGGUGAAAGCAGGGGAUCUUCGGACCUUGCGCGAUUGAAUGAGCCGAUGUCGGAUUAGCUAGUUGGCGGGGUAAAGGCCCACCAAGGCGACGAUCCGUAGCUGGUCUGAGAGGAUGAUCAGCCACACUGGAACUGAGACACGGUCCAGACUCCUACGGGAGGCAGCAGUGGGGAAUAUUGGACAAUGGGCGCAAGCCUGAUCCAGCCAUACCGCGUGGGUGAAGGAGGCCUUCGGGUUGUAAAGCCCUUUUGUUGGGAAAGAAAAGCAGCAGGUUAAUACCCCGCUGUUCUGACGGUACCCAAAGAAUAAGCACCGGCUAACUUCGUG
rnacentral:rRNA from 1 species